rnacentral:rRNA from 1 species
UAGGGAAUAUUGGUAAUGUGCGAAAGCGCGAACCAGCAACGCCGCGUGCACGAUGAAGGCCUUCGGGUCGUAAAGUGCUUUUAGAGAGGAUGAGGAAGGACAGUACUUUCUGAAUAAGCCUCGGCUAACUACGUGCCAGCAGCCGCGGUAAAACGUAGGAGGCAAGCGUUAUCCGGAUUUACUGGGCGUAAAGCGCAUGCAGGUGGUUUUGUAAGUUGGAUGUGAAAGCUCCUGGCUUAACUGGGAGAGGUCGUUCAAAACUACAAGACUUGAGAUUGGUAGAGGAAAAUGGAAUUCCGGGUGUAGUGGUGAAAUGCGUAGAUAUCCGGAGGAACACCAGUGGCGAAAGCGGUUUUCUGGACCAAUUCUGACACUCAGAUGCGAAAGCUAAGGUAGCAAACGG